UUGAUGAAAGCACCAAACCAAUAUAUAAGGGAAUGUGAUAGCAGACUAUAACAGGUGAUGUUAGAACUCCAUGUGCCAUUCAAGUUAAAGUGUGGCUGCAGAAGCUGAAAGACAAGGAAGAGCUAAAUGAUGUCUAAACUUUUAGUCAUGAGAAAAUUAGUUAUGGAUGGACAGUUGCAUGUCCAAAUGUGGAUUUUAGGUAUUAACUUAAGAGUAAAAGAGCCAAAGUUUACCAGUAUAUAGAUGAAAAGUAGAGUCACUUGUAUCAAAUAUAUACAGAUGAGUCCCAAAAAGAAAAAAAAUCCAGGAAAAGUAGGGAUGGCAUAUUGUGUACUAAAGUUGGGAAUAAGUACAUCUAAAAAUAUAUGAUUUUGUAGCUGUCAUGACAGCCAUACUAGUAGCAAUUAUGUUAGCACUAAAUUGGAUCUGGGAUGUACACCCAGCAGCAGCGGUCAUUUUUUCAGAUUCAAUCUCGGACCUUAUGGCAAUUAAAAGGCUGUCUUAGUAUGCAGAAGUGAUUUAAUCAAUUAAAUUCUAUUUCUAAUAACAGAGUGAGUACAGAUGGGGAUACAAGUAGCAUUAGCUUGGAUUCCAGCACAUAUGGGGAUAACAGGGAAUGAAAUGGCAGACAAAGCAGCUAAAAAUGCUGUAAGAAAUGGAAAGGUUGAUAUAGAAAUACCCUUGAGUAAACAGGAAAUCAAAAGCCUAGUACAGAAAAAUGUAAAAGAGGAAUGGCCAAAAACAAAAUUGGAGUAAUGGGAGAAAAGGAAGAAGAUUUUUUGAAUUGUGCCUGAGAGUUGAGGAUACUUCAGGGCCUACAUAAGAAAAAUGAACUGAUUUUGUCUAGAAUACUAACUGGCCAUUGUGGCUUUGUGAUGGGGUUAAUGGAGGCCAGGUGGGCCUAUUAACCUAGUAGAUUGGAGGCUAAGAAGAAAGCCUUAAUUAGAGGAAUAGGCUCACCUGUAUAAAGCCAGGUAUGCUGGCUGCAUAGAAUGGGGCUGUUGCAGGGGAAAGCUGUAGGAAAGUAGGCUGAAAUCACUCCUGGAGGGGAGGUAGUUGGAGGCUGGCAAACCCAAAGAGGGUGGGAGCCAGUGAUGUAGGAAGAACCCAGGGAAACCGAGACAAAAAGGGUAGGACUGCACAGGGAAAGUGGCUGCUCGUUAUAGGGAGCAGGUCUGGGUUCCCCUACUAGCCAUUGGAGAGUGGCAAAGGGUGUUAGAGAUGCCAACCAGCAGGUCUGGAAAGACUGUGAAUUCCUUGGCCAGAAAGCCAAGCUACAGAAAGGAAGCUGCAGAGCUGGGAGUGAGCGUGGCAGCAGAGUGAGAGAAGACAACACCAGAGGGUGAGCACAAGCUGGCAGAACUAAUCUCCAAGAUGGUCAGCAGGUGGUGCUGCUCAUGAAAGUAAAGCUGUGUCUUUGGAUGAAGUGAAUGUCUGUAAAAUGGAAAAGAAGCCUAUGAGAGAACUGCAUUCUGCUACACUAUGAGGAAUGACCAUAAAGUUCACAUCUUACACCUGCCUUCCUCCACCCACCCUCCCUCCAUCCAUCCAGGAAUGAAGAAUGUCUAUGUGGUGAUUGUAAUCCUGUUUGGAGACAAAUUGGGUUGUCAAACUGAAGUCUGGAGGAAUCCUGCCUUUGGAAAUAAUAUCACUUUCUGAAACUCUGUUUGGGACUAAGCAGCUAUUCCUCCAUCAGGAGGCCCAGAGUUGUUCUCAACUGAGAUUUCAUUUUAAUUUUCCAGCUUCUAUUCUGCAGUUUUGCUAAUCACCGUUUAUCUGUGUGGGAUGCUGGUUAUAUACAGAGGACGGGAUUUUAAAAAAAUCACUUAGCAUGUAAGUUCUUUGGGUCGGGGCCUACUUUUUUGUUCUGUUUGUACAGCAGCAGCACAGUGGGGUUCUGGUCUGUGUUUGGGGGCUCUGCGUGCUAACACAAUACAAAUAAUAAAUUAUAUAAAAGUGCCCAAUGUUGGCCUAAGAGUGAUCCCAUUGAAGUCAAUGGUAAAACCAGGUCCCAGUAACUUCAAUUGAAUUUCAAGGUACUUAAUGCCUUGUAGAAGGCACUCAGGGCCGGAUUUUUAACUCCCCUUGAGAUCACUUUGUUCAUUGACUUGAGAUCAA